rnacentral:rRNA from 1 species
UGCCUUAUAAUUUGAGGCUAGAAUGAAUGGUUUGACGAAGGUUAAUCUGUCUCCAUCUUAUUUUUUAGAAUUUAAUUUUUAAGUGAAAAAGCUUAAAUUUUUUAAAGGGACGAGAAGACCCUAAUGAGCUUGUAAUUUUAUUAUUGUUAUUUAAAAUAUUUAGAUAGCAAUAUAUAAAUUUUAAUUGGGGUGAUUAAGGAAUAAGUUGAAUAUAGUAACUUCCUUAAAUUGAAUAUUUAUAGAUAAAGUAACCAAUAUAAUAUUGCUUAUAAUACAGUUACCAUAGGGAUAACAGCGUAAUUCGUUUAGAGAGUUCUUAUUGAAAAACGAGAUUGCGACCUCGAUGUUGGAUUAAAGUAACCUUAAGGUGCAGAAGCUUUAAAGGUUGGUCUGUUCGACCAUUAA